AUGGAUCCGGCGUUGAAGGCGUACCUCGACAAGCUCAACGACGAGGCCAUCGCUCGCGCCAACCGGCAGGAGGAAGACAACAAGGCCAUCCUCAAGGCCGUGGCGACGCAGACCACCCGGAUCGACGCUCUCGUCUCCUGGAAGCCGGAGCUAGAAGCGCGAUUCGCGCAGCUCGAAUCCGCCGUCGCAGCGCUCCAGGCAGCAUCGGCCGCGCCCGUCCCCGCAACGCCGUCCAUCGGAUCGCCGCCGCCUGCGACCGUCCCUGUGGUCGCGCGCGAGAUCCACGGGCAAUCAAGCCAUGACGUGUCGCUGCACCCCGGGGAGUCUCCAACGAUGACUCUCGAGUCACCGGCGGCUUCCCCAAUCACGCGAAUCCUUCCCCAUUACCUUCUCAAGUACUGGCGGUGA
rnacentral:rRNA from 1 species